CCAGGAACACGUGUCCUAUAUGUUCUCUGGUCAAGAGAGCACAAUUCAGUAGAAUAAAUACUGGCUCUUGGUAUUAGUUCGAAUCCCACCUUCGAUGCUGGGUCUGAAAUAGGAACUCUUUGGCAAUAUAACAGAUUGGAGAGAAACGUAGAAUAUAAACUCCCUGAAGGACAGGGAUUGUUUACAUUCUGUCUUCGUCCCCGAAGUGUCCGGCACAGUUCUUACACAUAGUGCUCUCCUCGCACCGAGCAGAAACUUUCAAGAUGUCUUGAGUUCUCCAUGAAGAGGAAAUGACCAAAAAGGAAUGACAUAGUAAUGAUGGAUGUGACCCUGGACUGCCUUAGUCAAUCCAGGCCAAUGUACAACGCUAAG
rnacentral:lncRNA from 1 species